rnacentral:rRNA from 1 species
UACAGAGGGUGCAAGCGUUGUUCGGAAUUAUUGGGCGUAAAGCGCGCGUAGGCGGUUACUCAAGUCGGAUGUGAAAGCCCUCGGCUUAACUGAGGAAGUGCACCCGAAACUGAGUAGCUAGAGUACUAAAGAGGGUCGCGGAAUUCCCGGUGUAGAGGUGAAAUUCGUAGAUAUCGGGAGGAACACCGGUGGCGAAGGCGACCAUCUGGACGGAUACUGACGCUGAGACGCGAAAGCGUGGGUAGCAAACAGG